rnacentral:sRNA from 1 species
UGACCACUCCGCUUCGGGAGUUGAGGCCAUACGGACAGCCGGGUCAAAUGCCGA